rfam:Camelus ferus unplaced genomic scaffold scaffold473, whole genome shotgun sequence.
GGAGUGUAGAGCUCAGUGUUAGAGCAUGUGCUUAGCAUUCAUGAGGUCCUGGGUUCAAUCCUCAGUACCUCUG